AAAACACAAAGAGGAUGAAGAAGAAGAGGAGCGCACCACUUUUAAAACAGAAGAAGAAGAAGUGGAAGUUAGUUUAUCACAACCUGCGGCAACUGAUGGGGAGCUACCCUGAGUUAUGUUCAAUCAAAGGAGGAGUCAGAAAACACAGAGAGCUCUACAUCUGAUCAGGAUGAUGAGGAGCCAGAAGGGCCAGUUGCAGGAGAUCCCAUUGACCUCUUCUCAGCUGCGUCCAGCACUCCUUUUACGCUUCCAAAAGGACCAGAUAUUUCAAGGUCCGAAGAACAUGGCCCUGUUCAGCCAAGUUCCACAAACUUCCCCAUAACUCAGCAUGGAAUGAGAAAGAGGUCUUUUCACAGCUCCUGGUACAAAGACUGUUCUUGGUUAGAAUAUUCUGUUAUUAAAGACUCUUCCUACUGCUUUGCCUGUAGGCAUUUUUCCUUGCCUAAUGCACCAGACAGUGUCUUUGCCUCGCGUUCUGGUUUCUGUUAUUGGAAAAAGGCAUUGUACAAGGAGUCUGGAUUUAAACUUCACUCAAAGUCAGAGCACCACGUAAAUGCAAUGUAUGCAUGGAGUCAAUAUAAAAGGGCUAUUGAGGGAAAUACAACCAUGCUAAAUUCUAUAAACCCAAACCGGAAAAAGUGGUGGAAGAAAACCGGUAUUAUAUUAAAACAAUAGCCGAUGUUCUUCUGUUGACUGCAACACAGAAUAUUGCUCAAAGGGGGCAUCGAGAAUCUGAGGACUCUAAAAAUAAGGGAAACUUUUUGGCUAUAUUGAAUGAAAUAGCAAAAUAUGAUCAGUUAAU